GACGAACGCUGGCGGCGUGCUUAACACAUGCAAGUCGAACGGAAAGGCCUUUUCGGAGGUACUCGAGUGGCGAACGGGUGAGUAACACGUGGGUGAUCUGCCCUGCACUCUGGGAUAAGCCUGGGAAACUGGGUCUAAUACCGGAUAGGACCGCACUUUAGUGUGUGUGGUGGAAAGUUUUUUCGGCGUAGGAUGAGCCCGCGGCCUAUCAGCUUGUUGGUGGGGUAAUGGCCUACCAAGGCGGCGACGGGUAGCCGGACUGAGAGGUUGGUCGGCCACAUUGGGACUGAGAUACGGCCCAGACUCCUACGGGAGGCAGCAGUGGGGAAGAUUGCACAAUGGGCGCAAGCCUGAUGCAGCGACGCCGCGUGGGGGAUGACGGCCUUCGGGUUGUAAACUCCUUUCGCCAGGGACGAAGCGUUUUGUGACGGUACCUGGAGAAGAAGCACCGGCUAACUACGUG
rnacentral:rRNA from 1 species